CAUUAGAUGGCUGAAAGUAAGUAUUGGUCUCUUAAACCAUACUAUAGUAAAUUAACGCCUACUUCUAGUGG
rnacentral:tRNA from 1 species